rnacentral:rRNA from 2 species
AUGCAAGUUGAGGGGUAGAGUUUCUUCGGAAACUUGAGACCGGCGCACGGGUGCGUAACGCGUAUGCAAUCUACCCUUUACUGGGGAAUAGCCCGGAGAAAUUCGGAUUAAUGCCCCAUAUGCCCACGGAAUCGCAUGGUUCAGUGGGGAAAGUUCCGACGGUAAAGGAUGAGCAUGCGUCCCAUUAGCUAGUUGGUGAGGUAACGGCUCACCAAGGCGACGAUGGGUAGGGGGCCUGAGAGGGUGAUCCCCCACACUGGUACUGAGACACGGACCAGACUCC